rnacentral:tRNA from 1 species
GGGUUUGCAGCUCAGUGGGUAGAGUGCUUGCUUAGCAUGCAUGAAGCCCUGGGUUCCAGCCCCAGCAGCUCA